rnacentral:lncRNA from 1 species
AAUGACUUUAGAUUUGUUAAUUUUAAGUACGAGGUGAAGAGAUGCAUGGGAAUACCCUGUUCUCACCUCAGUUUGUUCCAUCUGCAUAAGCUAUUUUAUCUUUCAAUACCCCUUUUGAUUUUUUUCAUUUUGGUCCUUGAAUAAAUUAAGGAUCAUUUAAAAUAAAUAAAUGUCGACUUCGAGAUACUAUUAAAUAUAUUCUUUGCAAUUCGUCCGAUGGGAAAUUGGUAAAAAUCAGUCUCCAAAGAACUCAGAUCAGGAUUCUAGCCAGAUUUGAAGAGAAACAAAUUUCAGAUAGAUAUGGUUUUCAGGUAAGAAAAGGUAGGAAUUCUCGUCAGCCCCCAAACAAUGAUUUUACUUGCUUGGUGACACAGUUGACCUUUCUCUGCAGGGCCAUGGUCUUCUAAGUACCUCUGCUCUAAUUAUAUCUUGCUAUACCCACGAAUUUGAUUGUUGUUCUAUUUCCAUGGAUCAUUAAUUUCCCAUUCCAGCAGAGAUUCCCUGUAGUCAAGUUCCUGAGGGGUAGGUGCUUGUUAUUUUCUCUUUCAAUCAUGUGCAUUUUAUAUUUACUAUUAAAUUUUUGAAUAAUGACACCUUCUCCAAGCGGCUGUAAGUUUGGCUGUGAUGAACCUCUCCGGAGAAGCCUGUGAGCUUUCACAUCUGCUGGAAAACUCUGGGGAGAAUCUUUCUAAUGAGGAAUUCCUGGAACAAGAAAUUACAGAUGAUCUCUUUUUCAGAAGACAUGGCAAGCAAGUGAAUGCCUUUUUCUCCCAUCAGAGAAGAAGUCAACCUCUCUGUUCAACUUUUUGGUGGAGGCUACGAUCCAGUUUCUAGCUGGCUGAAUGGUGAUGGAACGACAUGAACUCUGGACCUGAGGAAUACGUGCGGAAGGAAGGAUAAUGGGUUUGUGUGCUUGUAAACCAACCCGUCGGAUGCAUGCACCAGGCAUUUGGAAAUAGAAUGCAACAGAAGAGCCAAGCCCUGGAGUUAAGGUGUGAGUGAUCAGCCUAUAUGAAACCUUAAGGUACUUCUGGGAGAGGUCGUGGGGUUAGAACAAAGUGGGAUCAAAAAAGAGAGCCCUAUGAAACCCCGGCAUUGAAGAGCAGAGGACAAGGAUCCAACUAAGACACAGCAUGUGUAAUAAAUGAAAGAGGAGAGAACUGUCAGUGUGUAGUUUUCAGAAGGAAGAAGAAGUUCAUGGCAGCAGAUACAGUAGAAAGGUCCAAUAAGAGAGGGUCCAUCUUUGGGAGUAGGCUUUUGUGAUAUUUAUACAACGCUCUCAAUUAUCCGGAUAUUUUCUGCUUUUCUUAUUUUCUCAUGAACACAUUGUAUGAAUCCCCUGAGACCUGCCUCACUUAAAACAUUCAUGAGACUGCACAGCCAGCCAGGCCCAAGGAGAGCAUCUGAGACUGAACUCUUGGUAUCCAUCAGCCACAUAUGGAUACUAAACCCCUGAAAUAAUUGUGUCCAAAUUAAAAUGUGCUGUAAGUGCGACACAGUUACUGGAUUUCAGAGACUCCGUAUAAAAAUGUAAAAUACCUCACUGAUAAUUUUUAGAUCGAUCGUCUGUUCAAACCAUACUAUCGUGAAGGCACUGUUGUACAAAGUACAUUAAGUUACAUGUUAUUCGUUUGCUUUAAGUUUUAUUCAUGUGACCAGCGGAAAAUGGAGAAUGACCAAUUUGGCUCGCACGGGCAGCUGCCGUGAUUAUUUCUGGUAGAUGGUGCCCCUCUCCGCCGCAGCCUGUGCUUUUCACAACCUCUGGAGCAGCCUGGUUUUCCCUGUGCAUCUCACGCAACCACCUGUGCCCAGCGCAACACCUGCAGUCACUUGAGCCAACAUCCGGAGUCAGUCUGCCGUGGUUAUCCUCUCACCGAAAUGCUUUGUGUUUACUGAUUCCAAUUAGAUCCUGAAUGCACCUCGGCCGUAAUAGUCUCUGACUCAGUACAAAUGGUCUUAUUCUCUAGUAUUUUAAAUUAUUAUGCUUUAAUUCCCCUUCCAGCCUGCUUAGGCAUUAUGUGUCUAUGACAGGGCAAAGGUCUUAAAUCCAUAGAGUGAAAUCGUAGGAUCUGAUAGAGGAAACCUGUUUCCAUGGACCAACGCUAACAUGAACCUAGGGUAGAAUAUUCCGGAUGCCCUUGACAUUCAUGCGGUGACUUGUGAUGACAAUCAGGCUGAUGAUGAUGUAAAUGACAGUUAUCACUGCUGCGAACUUUUCAAACACAGAAUGUAUUUUCAAGUUGCGUAGUACUCACUAACAUGAAAAGGAUUGGGAUGGCGGACAUGCUUGUCUAAUUAGGAAAUACAUAGUAUACCAGCAGAAAAUAGACCUUCUCCAUGAUA